rnacentral:rRNA from 1 species
UGAGGAAUAUUGGUCAAUGGACGCAAGUCUGAACCAGCCAAGUAGCGUGCAGGAUGACGGCCCUCCGGGUUGUAAACUGCUUUUAGUUGGGAAUAAAAGGGGGCUCGUGAGCCCCGUAUUGUAUGUACCAUCAGAAAAAGGACCGGCUAAUUCCGUGCCAGCAGCCGCGGUAAUACGGAAGGUCCGGGCGUUAUCCGGAUUUAUUGGGUUUAAAGGGAGCGUAGGCCGGCUUUUAAGUCAGCUGUGAAAGUCCGCGGCUCAACCGUGGAAUUGCAGUUGAAACUGGAGGCCUUGAGUGCACACAGGGAUGCCGGAAUUCAUGGUGUAGCGGUGAAAUGCUUAGAUAUCAUGAAGAACUCCGAUCGCGAAGGCAAGUGUCCGGGGUGCAACUGACGCUGAGGCUCGAAAGUGCGGGUAUCAAACAGG